GUUGCCCGCAGCCUACGAUUUAAUCAUAAACUUCUUUCUCUCUCUCUAUACGUUUUCCCCCAUCGAAGCCCAAAACCAUCACUUAUUGCGCAAUCAAAAUCCACAACACAGUUACAAACUCGCAAAACCCCCUCUGUUCUCUCUCGCUCUAUCUCCAUUCUUGCCUUUCGUGUGCUUUUUCAUCUUCCUCAGUUGGUUUUCGUCUGCUAGGGUUUCGGACCAUUCCUCUCUUCGACCGGGUUAAACAUGGACUGGAGCACCGUGAGCGCCGAAGAUCUGAUCGAAGCCCUCCGUGAAGUGGAGUGGUCGUCACCGCCUCGGCCUCUCUCUGAAUUCUUCUCCAGAUUCACUUUUCCCCGAUCUUACUCGAAAUGGAGCAGUCGCCUCAAGUGCAAUCUCUACUACUACCGGACAAAUUACUUCAUCAUGAUCGUAUUCAUUCUCGGGUUGGGAUUCCUGAGGAGGCCACUUGCUGUCCUUGCUGCUGCUUUUACAGCUCUAAGCAUUGCGUUUCUAAAUGACAGCUUUGCAGGUACGUUUAGUGAGAAGGUAACCAGAACUGUGAGGCAGAUGUCUCCACAUUUAGCAGCAAAAAUGAGGCCGCCUCUUACGCCUGUUAUUCGUGGUCGCCCAUCAGCCAAAAGAACCAUUUAUAUAUGUGGAAGGCCUCGCUGGGUGUUUGUCUUCAUAUUCUCUUCUGUGAGUUUUAUCCUUUGGUUUGUUUCUUGUGGCCUCUUGUCUGUCCUAUGGGCGUUAGCCAUUGGCCUUCUUGCCACUGUUCUUCACGCAAGCUUUAGAACACCCAACUUGAAAGCCCGUUUGAACACGUUCCGAGAGGAAUUUCGUGCAGUUUGGCGCAAUUAUAGUGAGCUGUAGCUUCCUCCACAGAGAAUAAUGGAUAUUUAUUUUAUUGGUGUGGAUGUGGCGAUGGUGGGUGAAGAUGAAGGAGCUGAUUGGAGAUGGGCCGUGGUCGAUGAUGGCAGUGUUUUCUCUUGGGAAAUCAAGGGUAGUGUUGCUAGUUCAGAAGCUUGUGCAGCGCAUUCUCUGAAUCUGGACCUGGCUUGCUGCAGGGGUAUAAUGACUACUUUUGAGGUUGUGAUGUUGACUUUCACAUGAGAGGCUGCCAAUCUGUGCAGAUCAUCAAUGUAUUGUAAAUUGUCUGAAAUUCUUGUUUUAGCCAAAGCGGACACUGGCCAGUUAUCGUCUAUGUUACCCAGGAGAGAUCUGCAGAUUUCUCCAGUGCAGUUGGCCGAGGAUGUUUAUAUAAUUCCUGAAUGAGCAUAAAGGCCUGUAUUACUAUUCACAGUAGUAAUUGUUUGAACCAGCGAGUCUUGCAACUAACCUUUUGUGUUUAGUUUGGGUAAAUGGUCUAUUAUUAACACACUUUCUCAUUAUGCAUAUGGUUUGAUA